rnacentral:lncRNA from 1 species
UAUCAAGUUUCUACCUGGUUUGCUCUUUGGACUUCACUUUUCCCUUGGAUGGAAGUAGCCUCGUCUCGUGGCACCCAGCCCGUAUCGACCAUCGCACGAGCAGAAUAGUUGAAUUGAGAUUGGAUCGAGUUCAUUUACGCUUUGCCUUCAUUUCGAAUUCGAGUUGUUCAAUCAAUUGGAGCAGGUAAGCACUAGUCUUUUGGAGCAGUCUUACUGUCCUUUGAAGAAAUCUCGGCCCGGGUCCUUUUUUUACCUUUACAUGUCGAUUCAGCAAGCAAGGCUAAUUUAGUCUUUGCAUUCAUGCAUUCUGACUGUUCGACCUCGACCAGAACAUCCCCUUCAAUAAGCAGCGCCUUACCUACUAAGCUUUAAAGAGUAAUCCACCGCAACAGAAACUUUUUUUUUGAAGCACUUCUUCCUAAUAGAAAAAGCGAGAAGUUCAAUGUGAAAAGCCAUAAGUGUUCUUUCUGUGAAAGCUUGCCCAACCUAGUAAUAAAGGGGCCGCGCUAGGCGCUCACCCAUUUUGUCUUGCUAGUGAGACAUGCCCUCUUUCUUUUCACUCUUUCUGUUAGCCAGUUCUAGUAGCGAGCAGUUCGUGAUUGGCUUUUGGAUUGGCUAGUUUCGAAAUUGAUCAAUUCACCAUUCUAAGCAUUGGGCGGAGCUAGAGCAAGAGCCUGUUCCAGAGCCGGGAGGGCAGUAGGACUAAGGGCAGUAGCCUUUUCUUCAAGUAGGACUUUCUUGAUAGCCAGAAGCUCUUCCUUCCAUUAGUAAUCUGGGAAGAAUCGAUCAACUACCUUUUCCUUCUGUAAAAAAUUCCCAGAAAAAUGGUUGAAUGGGCAGACUUACGACUAAACUCUUAUUGGGAUGGGAUGCCUUACCUUACAACUGCUACGGGUAGCUCUCUUAACUAUCUGGCUAUCUCUUAAGAGUGAAACUCAAUUCCCUCACUACUUGCCUGUAAACCAGAGCUAAUGAUUGUGGAUCCUUUACCGUAGUUGAAUUCACACCAGCUUACUCUAGACAAAGAUAAGAUAAUGAUUUGGCGAUUUGAAUGCCAUAUAUGACUUGACUCUAUCAAUUCCGGAACCCUCCAAAAAGAAAGAGAUUACACUUGAGCUAUUAUUGUUCUAACGACAGAAGUGGAUUCAAGCAUUCGUUCCGAGUCGCCAAGAGACAGAAGAGCUUAUUUCAAGCAUUCCCCUUGAGUCGGGAAAACUCCUUAAUUAUUUAACUGGGUAUGAGAACUCCUCCCUUAUAGUAGAAAUUCUUCCAAGAACGUAUUCUUCUUAAUUAAGUUGAUUUGAGAACAUCUGCUACUGAUUUCAAUAGCCAAGUCAAGCUUUCCAGCAGGUGAGACAAAUGCCGAUUCUACCUCUUCCAACUCCCUCUUUAUAGCAGGAUUUUCUUAACCAAGAGCUAGCUUAUGGAUAUUAGAUAUCAAUAUCGGAAGAUCAGGCCCAUCACUUCUUCUUGACUUUUAUGAUUUGCCAAUCCCUAUAAUUAAUAAGUUUAUCAGCGUUUUCCCAAUCCUUAUAAUUAAAGUCAACUGAGCAUAUUAUGGAAUAGGGAAAACUACAAUUAGGAUCAACAUAGAAGUUUCCCCGUGUGGUGUUAAACCAAAAUGCUAAAGAGAGCGAAGGGGAAAUAAUGAACUACGUUUCAUGUAAUGUAGUACACUAUAAGAGAGUUAGAGUACUGUAGUGGACACAAUUCAAAAAUCACCUUAAGGAAAGGGCUUAUAUAAAAUAAAGAUAAAUUCAAAACAAGUUACAUGCUCGUGACCCACAACAACUAAUAGGGCCAACAUUUUAUUUUAGAACUACUCUUUUAAUUUUUGCAACUACAUACUUUCCUGGAAUAAGAAAGCCUUGCCCUGUCCCUUACUCGUCGCUGUCUCAUGGCUAUGCGCCGCAUUUUAUGGAGGGGUAUAGAGGUUCUCGCGAAAGGGCCGACUUUAUGAUAUGCUUGUCGAUAUGGAAUUAGAUCCCAAAGUUUCGACCACUCACUAUCUAGAGAGAAGCCUCAACCUCUUCCUUUCUAUACAUUGAGUUAUAUUCAAAGGUAUCCCAACACCGGUAAUGCCCCAUCUUUUAGUCAAUCCGCUACGCACCUUAAGUGCUAGAAGACGAACAACUGAUUCUCAAGUAGGGGAUUCAUCGAAAAUGACCUAUCUGUCUACUUGCUUUCAGUUCUGUUCCCGUGUCUAAAGCUCUCAACCUAUUCUUGUGCAAACCAACCAAGUUCACUGCCUAAAUUUAGGAGUGAAAUAACCCGCUAUGAGUAGAUGGGACUUUGCCUGGUAUUCCUUCUUCUUGAUUGAGGUGCCUAUGAUAGGCACAUUGGUUAAUUGAAAAUUUAUAUGAAUUGACAUGUUUUGGUGAUAGUUCAUAUUGUUGUACAAUUGAGUAUACUUGUACCACUUAGGGUACAUUGGUUAGGAUAGUUGAUUUGGUAUGUUUUAAGCUUGUUUAAUGUAAUUUUGAAUAGGUCAUAUGGCUAGUAAAUGAAUUACUUAGGGUCCAAGUAAGCUUGAAAUCAUAAACUUUUCAUUUAAGGUUCAUUUAGGGCCACAUGGCUUGUGACACGCCAGUGUCACCUAGCCAUAUGUCACACACAGCCUAGCGACAUGGCCGUAUGGCAUCUGAUGAUUUACUUAGGGUUCAAGUCAGUGAGUUACACGACCUAACACAUGGCCUAACACACGAGUGUGUGAGGCAACUUAGAAAGUUACAAGACCUGGGACACGGGUGUGUGACAAGGUUGUGUGACCCUACUUAGAGAGUUACACGGGUGAGGACACGGGCUAGGACACGACCGUGUUUCCCUAGUUCAAAAGGUACAUGGUUGGGGACAUGGGCAUGUGAUACAGCCAUGUGAAUCACACGGCCUAGCCACACGGCCGUGUGACCCAUGUUUUGCAUAUUUUUCAUUUUCUUCCUAAACUUCCUAUCUUAUUUCAAAUUAGUCUCGUUGGGCGGAGCUAGAGCAAGAGCCUGUUCCAGAGCCGGGAGGGCAGUAGGACUAAGGGCAGUAGCCUUUUCUUCAAGUAGGGUUUUCUUGAUAGCCAGAAGCUCUUCCUUCCAUUAGUAAUCUGGGCAGAAUCGAUCAACUACCUUUUCCUUCUGUAAAAAAUUCCCAGAAAAAUGGUUGAAUGGGCAGACUUACGACUAAACUCUUAUUGGGAUGGGAUGCCUUACCUUACAACUGCUACGGGUAGCUCUCUUAACUAUCUGGCUAUCUCUUAAGAGUGAAACUCAAUUCCCUCACUACUUGCCUGUAAACCAGAGCUAAUGAUUGUGGAUCCUUUACCGUAGUUGAAUUCACACCAGCUUACUCUAGACAAAGAUAAGAUAACGAUUUGGCGAUUUGAAUGCCAUAUAUGACUUGACUCUAUCAAUUUCGGAACCCUCCAAAAAGAAAGAGAUUACACUUGAGCUAUUAUUGUUCUAACGACAGAAGUGGAUUCAAGCAUUCGUUCCGAGUCGCCAAGAGACAGAAGAGCUUAUUUCAAGCAUUCCCCUUGAGUCGGGAAAACUCCUUAAUUAUUUAACUGGGUAUGAGAACUCCUCCCUUAUAGUAGAAAUUCUUCCAAGAACGUAUUCUUCUUAAUUAAGUUGAUUUGAGAACAUCUGCUACUGAUUUCAAUAGCCAAGUCAAGCUUUCCAGCAGGUGAGACAAAUGCCGAUUCUACCUCUUCCAACUCCCUCUUUAUAGCAGGAUUUUCUUAACCAAGAGCUAGCUUAUGGAUAUUAGAUAUCAAUAUCGGAAGAUCAGGCCCAUCACUUCUUCUUGACUUUUAUGAUUUGCC